rnacentral:rRNA from 1 species
UAAGGAAUAUUGGUCAAUGGACGCAAGUCUGAACCAGCCAUGCCGCGUGAAGGAUGAAGGUCCUCUGGAUUGUAAACUUCUUUUAUUUGGGACGAAAAAAGGUCUUUCUAGAUCACUUGACGGUACCAUAUGAAUAAGCACCGGCUAACUCCGUGCCAGCAGCCGCGGUAAUACGGAGGGUGCAAGCGUUAUCCGGAUUCACUGGGUUUAAAGGGUGCGUAGGUGGGCUUGUAAGUCAGUGGUGAAAUCUCUAGGCUUAACCUGGAAACUGCCAUUGAUACUAUAAGCCUUGAAUUUUCUGGAGGUAAGCGGAAUAUGUCAUGUAGCGGUGAAAUGCUUAGAUAUGACAUAGAACACCAAUUGCGAAGGCAGCUUGCUACAGGAACAUUGACACUGAGGC